CCUACGGGGAGCAGCAGUGAGGAAUAUUGGUCAAUGGGCGAGAGCCUGAACCAGCCAAGUCGCGUGAAGGAUGACGGCCCUACGGGUUGUAAACUUCUUUUGUCAGGGAACAAUUGCGUCCACGUGUCGGCUUAGCGAGGUUACCUGAAGAAAAAGCAUCGGCUAACUCCGUGCCAGCAGCCGCGGUAUUCCGGAGGAUGCGAGGGUUACCCGGUUUUUUUGGGUUUAAAGGGUGCGUAGGCGGAAUGUCAAGUCAGCGGUAAAAAUUCGGGGCUCAACCCCGUCGGGCCGUUGAAACUGAGGUUCUAGAGUGGGCGAGAAGUAUGCGGAAUGCGUGGUGUAGCGGUGAAAUGCAUAGAUAUCACGAAGAACUCCGAUUGCGAAGGCAGCAUACCGGCGCCCAACUGACGCUGAAGCACGAAAGCGUGGGUAUCGAACAGGAUUAGAUACCCUUGUAGUC
rnacentral:rRNA from 1 species